rnacentral:rRNA from 1 species
CCUACUGGCUGCAGCAGUGGGGAAUAUUGCACAAUGGGGGAAACCCUGAUGCAGCGACGCCGCGUGAGUGAAGAAGUAUUUCGGUAUGUAAAGCUCUGUCAGCAGGGAAGAAAAUGACGGUACCUGAACAAGAAGCCCCGGCUAACUACGUGCCAGCAGCCGCGGUAAUACGUAGGGGGCAAGCGUUAUCCGGAUUUACUGGGUGUAAAGGGAGCGUAGACGGCAGGGCAAGUCUGGAGUGAAAGGCGGGGGCUCAACACCCGGACUGCUCUGGAAACUGCCAGGCGGGAGUGCAGGAGAGGUAAGUGGAAUGCCUAGUGUAGCGGUGAAAUGCGUAGAUAUUAGGAGGAACACCAGUGGCGAAGGCGGCUUACUGGACUGUAACUGACGUUGAGGCUCGAAAGCGUGGGGAGCAAACAGGAUUAGAUACCCUAGUAGUC